rnacentral:rRNA from 1 species
GACGAACGCUGGCGGCGUGCCUAAUACAUGCAAGUAGAACGCUGAAGGAGGAGCUUGCUUCUCCGGAUGAGUUGCGAACGGGUGAGUAACGCGUAGGUAACCUGCCUGGUAGCGGGGGAUAACUAUUGGAAACGAUAGCUAAUACCGCAUAAGAGUAGAUGUUGCAUGACAUUUGCUUAAAAGGUGCAAUUGCAUCACUACCAGAUGGACCUGCGUUGUAUUAGCUAGUUGGUGGGGUAACGGCUCACCAAGGCGACGAUACAUAGCCGACCUGAGAGGGUGAUCGGCCACACUGGGACUGAGACACGGCCCAGACUCCUACGGGAGGCAGCAGUAGGGAAUCUUCGGCAAUGGACGGAAGUCUGACCGAGCAACGCCGCGUGAGUGAAGAAGGUUUUCGGAUCGUAAAGCUCUGUUGUAAGAGAAGAACGAGUGUGAGAGUGGAAAGUUCACACUGUGACGGUAGCUUACCAGAAAGGGACGGCUAACUACGUG